rnacentral:rRNA from 1 species
UACGGGGGGGGCAAGCGUUGUUCGGAAUUACUGGGCGUAAAGCGUGCGCAGGCGGUUGUGCAAGACAGAUGUGAAAUCCCCGGGCUCAACCUGGGAACUGCAUUUGUGACUGCACAGCUUGAGUGCGGCAGAGGGGGAUGGAAUUCCGCGUGUAGCAGUGAAAUGCGUAGAUAUGCGGAGGAACACCGAUGGCGAAGGCAAUCCCCUGGGCCUGCACUGACGCUCAUGCACGAAAGCGUGGGGAGCAAACAGG